UACGUAGGGUGCAAGCGUUGUCCGGAAUUAUUGGGCGUAAAGAGCUCGUAGGCGGUUCGUCGCGUCGGCUGUGAAAACCUGCGGCUUAACCGCAGGCCUGCUUCCGAUACGGGCGAGCUAGAGUUCGGCAGGGGAGACUGGAAUUCCUGGUGUAGCGGUGGAAUGCGCAGAUAUCAGGAGGAACACCGGUGGCGAAGGCGGGUCUCUGGGCCGAUACUGACACUGAGAAGCGAAAGCGUGGGGAGCGAACAGG
rnacentral:rRNA from 1 species